UGGCUCAGGAUGAACGCUGGCGGCGUGCUUAACACAUGCAAGUCGAACGAUGAUCUCCAGCUUGCUGGGGGGAUUAGUGGCGAACGGGUGAGUAACACGUGAGUAACCUGCCCUUGACUCUGGGAUAAGCCUGGGAAACUGGGUCUAAUACCGGAUAUGACCAUCUGGCGCAUGUCAUGGUGGUGGAAAGCUUUUUUGUGGUUUUGGAUGGACUCGCGGCCUAUCAGCUUGUUGGUGGGGUAAUGGCCUACCAAGGCGACGACGGGUAGCCGGCCUGAGAGGGUGACCGGCCACACUGGGACUGAGACACGGCCCAGACUCCUACGGGAGGCAGCAGUGGGGAAUAUUGCACAAUGGGCGCAAGCCUGAUGCAGCGACGCCGCGUGAGGGAUGACGGCCUUCGGGUUGUAAACCUCUUUCAGUAGGGAAGAAGCGUAAGUGACGGUACCUGCAGAAGAAGCGCCGGCUAACUACGUGCCAGCAGCCGCGGUAAUACGUAGGGCGCAAGCGUUAUCCGGAAUUAUUGGGCGUAAAGAGCUCGUAGGCGGUUUGUCGCGUCUGCUGUGAAAGACCGGGGCUCAACUCCGGUUCUGCAGUGGGUACGGGCAGACUAGAGUGCAGUAGGGGAGACUGGAAUUCCUGGUGUAG
rnacentral:rRNA from 1 species